ensembl:lncRNA
GUGCUAGCCACAUAUCCAUCACCAUUAGAAAACAAACUCUCAGGCUAUAGAACAUGUAUAUGUGAAAAAUGCAAUCCCAGAACCCCAGGCCCUUGCUGAUCACAACUGGCAGAGACUGUGAUGACGUCCAGAAGGAUGUUAGGAAUGUAUUCAGCCACACAUAACGGAACCUGACUUGGAGUGGAACAAACAGGCUUACAUCUCUCACCAAGAAUUCUGGAGAAUCUGGAAUCAACGGCCUUGACCAUACAGCCUGGAAGAGCACCUGUCAUUCAAAGUCAUGAAGAGUUUGAAAAAGAAACACCUGGAGAAACAAGAGGGCCUUUCCAUCAAUCAUCUCUUGAAAUUAAUGAGAUCAUCACGGUGGCUCUUUCAAUAAAAG